rnacentral:rRNA from 1 species
AUUGAACGCUGGCGGCAGGCCUAACACAUGCAAGUCGAGCGAGCGGCGGACGGGUGAGUAAUGUCUGGGAAACUGCCUGAUGGAGGGGGAUAACUACUGGAAACGGUAGCUAAUACCGCAUACCCCCAGGUGUGCCCCGAUGGGAUUAGCUAUGAGGUGGGGUAAUGGCUCACCUAGGCGACGAUCCCUAGCUGGUCUGAGAGGAUGACCAGCCACACGUGAACUGAGACACGGUCCAGACUCCUACGGGAGGCAGCAGUGGGGAAUAUUGCACAAUGGGCGCAAGCCUGAUGCAGCCAUGCCGCGUGUGUGAAGAAGGCCUUCGGGUUGUAAAGCACUUUCAGCGGGGAGGCGUUACCCGCAGAAGAAGCACCGGCUAACUCCGUGCCAGCAGCCGCGGUAAUAC